rnacentral:rRNA from 2 species
CACGUAGGGGACGAGCGUUGUCCGGAUUCAUUGGGCGUAAAGCGCGCGUAGGCGGCUCGGAAAGUCGGUCGUGAAAUGCCGGGGCUCAACCCCGGGACUGCGUCCGAUACUUCCGGGCUGGAGGUAGGUAGGGGAGAUCGGAAUUCCUGGUGUAGCGGUGAAAUGCGCAGAUAUCAGGAGGAACACCGGUGGCGAAGGCGGAUCUCUGGGCCUUACCUGACGCUGAGGCGCGAAAGCUAGGGGAGCGAAC